ensembl:snoRNA small nucleolar RNA SNORA3/SNORA45 family
AUCGAGACUAGAGUCACAUCUAGAUAUUGUCAGUUAUCAUGGUGUGCUAUAGUACUCGAAGAGCAAUAACUGACCUUUAUUCACUGACUGCCCUAUUCAUAGUUCAGUCAGCCACCAGGUUAGUAACAAAA